UGUUAGUCUGUGUCUCUUAAUUGUUUCUUUGUUUUCGUUCUAUCUCUAAGUCUGUUUGUUUUUAUCCUCUUUCUUUUCUUUUUCUUGUCAGACUUUUUGUCCUACUCUUUUCUUUUUUCAUUUCUAAAAUGAAAACAGGAAUGAAAGAUCAACUUUGCUGAGGAUUUUUGUGUUGAAAGUUUCCUGGUGGGUCGUCAGACUCACUGAGGAGGAUCCGAAGCGAAGCUGUCUCUGCUGUGACUUUAUCUAUGACCGUCAGAAACUUCAAGAAACGCUGAAAACGUCAUCCCGACUUUUUAUUGCUGCUCAGUUUCAUCAUUUUAUCCUGUGGAUCAUGAAUUAUUUUUGAUAUUUUGUACAAUAAAGCAAAUUUAUUCACA